CCCUAGGGACCGCUAUCAUCCCAACUCUACAAUCUUUGAUUCAAGAGCCACACCUCUUAUUCACAGAAAGCUUGCAAUUUUGCAUUUUAACCCCUCUAAUCCUUCAAACUUCCACUUUUGGCAUUGAGGACUUGGAAUUUCUGCAGAAUUCCAGUAACAACUUGGAUAGUUUUUGGAAUUGUGCUUUGUGGGAGCCUCCAAUUGCUGUGGGGAAGGAUUUCAUGGAUUGUGGACUUGUUCGAGAGUGGGUGGAACCAAUUUAACAGCAAGUAAUUGAGGUCAAAUUGCUGUUUUCUUGGGGUUUUAGUGUUCUUGAGCUGAAAUUUGGAUUUUUUUAGUCUUCUUGGGUCCGAAUCUUGUUGGAGCUGGAUUUUGGAAGUUGGAAUUGAUCUUCCAUCAUCCUCUACUGGUUUUGAACCCGUCCAUCACCUGAAUUGCAACUUGGAAGAUUUUGAUGGAGAGCCUAUUGCUGGUUAUGGAGUGAUCCCUCACUCAUCCAUGGAGGUUUUGGACCCUUCUUUACAGAAAUUAUAAGUUAGAAUUCUCGGAUUUCAGCUAUGUGCAUUGGAAUGCCUAGUGCAGGAAUUCUGGAUGCAAGAUUUGAGCACCCAGAAAGUGGAUUCGAAGCUGGUUUGAGGGCCUUUUGGUGAUCGAAUUGAGCUCAUUUUUGGUGGGGAACCUAGGGAAUUAUUUUUUUAGGCAUCUAGAGGCUGAAGCUGCCAACGUACUGUUUUGGACCCUCGAUCCGGGCGCCCAGAAGCAGCCGCAGGAGGAUCCAGAUCUGACAGCAACCAGGUUUGAUUUCGGUUGAGGCUAGUUUUGUGCAGGGCUUUUUCUAUCAACUUCUAGC